rnacentral:lncRNA from 8 species
UGUUGUUCUCUAUUCCUGACAGUUGACCGAAAGACGGAGCUAGAACUAAAUGCGCCGGUAUGGGAGACAGAAGAGAGAGAGAGAGACCCAAAGGAUAUCUUGCCACUAAAUAAUUUCCUUGAACUCCAGCGCCACCCUCAGAGAACCAGGAGCCUGGCAGAGCUGUGGGUGGAAGUGGACCCGGACCGGCAUGGGCACUGGGAACUGGCAGGGUGUCUUCUGAAUCCUCCCCCACCUAAGCCCCUACACCUGCCCACCUCGGCUGGCUCAGUGUGGGGGCUCCUCUCCCUCCAUUUCACUGCUUCUGGAGCAUGUCCUGCUCACGUGAGAAGCCCUGUAUCCCAUCAUGGCAAAUCCAAUACUGUCUGGUUCCUUCCCUGGUUUGACAUUGGAAUCACCGUAAUAGGAUUUUGAGUAUACUGAAUAAAACAUUCAAUGUCAACGUAAUUGUAUUUCGGUUACAUGGGGAGGAUAUGAGGUAUUUAUUAUGAAAUAGAAUACACACUUUGAAUUAUUUUGUAUUUGUAAUAUGUAAAUGAUACACGUGUUUGCCAGUUACAAUGUAAUCAAUGUGCCUUUUUGUGAAUUAUUGAAAUUAAUAAGUCAAUAUUUUGAAUUGAGAACAUUGUCUGGGCAGAUUUAUGUCUAUUGUAAAGGGAAGGAUUUGAAAUGUAUUGACUCUGUUCUGGCUUACAGUAGCAAUGUCCACCUCACAAUGCCUUAAGUAUCAGAACUGUACUGUUGAAGUAGAAAAAUACCAACAUGGCAAAACCCACUGUCUUUGCAGAUGAAGGAUCUUCAUUUGAUCACCCUGUCUCAGGAGAAUUUUCCAGCAAUGCAUGGCAUGUAACACUUGAAGUGUAUUUGAGGUUUAAAAAGGCUUGUGAAGUUUCUAAUUUCCACUUAGAAAUAUCAGAUCAGAUUUUCCCUUAUGAAAAAUGUAACUACCCCUACAAGAAUGUCCAUUAAUUAUAAUCCACAUAUAAUUCACAUUUCCUGUUAUUUUCCUGCUGUAGCAAACUGGUUAAAAUGAAUAUCCUACAUCUGUAUCUGAGCCCAUGGGCCAUUUUAAUUCGCUCAACAAUGAUUUUACAGAUGUACCUGUAAUACCAAAAUAAUCUGCAUGGAAUUGCUAUACAAUUAUACAAGUCUUAAUUGGAAUGCAUUUAAAUUACUAUUUUGAAUAUGAAUCAGUGAGCUUUUAACCCCACGUUGAACCCUGAAUCGUAACUAAGAAUAUGAUUAAUGUGACUGAUUACUGGUUUAUGUCUAUCCCCAUAUGUCAGCCCUUGCC